GGUAUCCCAGGAAUGUGCAACGAAAAGAAUUUCUGAUAUUUAUUAACUAGAAGAGUUAUCCUGGAAAGACUGAAAACAAUGCUGGAGACUGAAUACUACCUGCACAGGGACUUGUCAUGCUACAAUCCAGUUGAUAAAAAAUGGCAUUUAUAACAACUACAGCUUCAACGAAUCAUGCACAAAAGCUUUAUUAGUGGACUUGAAAAUGUUUGAGAGAAGGGCAGCAGGAAUGAUCCAAAAGCCUACUGAAACAACCACCUGCAGUAACAAGAGUAAUGGCUUUGUCUUUCCUGGCCAACCUUACGUAUGUGCAUGUGCCCAGCGCUGUGCUCUGCUGCACAGAAAUCAGGGACAUCCACCUGAUGUGUAAGUACUGGUCAUCCUAGAAGAGCAAACCAACGCCCAAUGAGCUACCUUACUGUGAGCUGCUUUUAACAGGCAGCAUUUUGGAGGACUUAUAUUUGGGUUGAAAAUUUGAAAUAAAAUCUAGAGGAAUAUUCUCAAU